UACCUCCUGUGGCUCCACAGCAGAGUUUCCUGUAGAGGACCAGCUCCUCCUCACCUGCGCUGGCAGGUGUUCCGUGGGCUCCUAUUGUGGAGACCGCGACAUCUCGCCGCGUGCCGCUGGGGGUACUGGUGGCUCCCACCCCCCGGAGUUGUCAAUCCCGGGAGCGGUUUGUGGUAGUACGUCUAGUUAUGCCGAGGCCCAAGUCUGGUUGUAGGGGGAAGUUAUCUCACCCCUCCUCGUCGUCGAGACAGCCGCAGGAGACAGUUAGGCUUCUGGCAACUAUGAGACGUCCUUCUUGACGUUGCACGAAUGUAGUACCUCUUUGUGGCGUGGGACUACUACGCCAAUACCUCUUCCAAGCAAGGUACUUUUCGCCCGAGUGGCUUCGGAAGUUGUCGGGAGGGCUUGAAAGGACAAACGUGAGCAGAGAUUGGAGGGGGUUAAGGUCGGCGGCGAAGGAGGACCGGGGUAGUGGUUGGAGGUGGGCACGGGGCAGCGGCUGUGUGCGAAGGAGGGAGUGGCGGCGCCACAAAGGAGGGGGCGGCGGGCCACGAAGGAAGGGGCGGCGACACCGGGAAGGAGGGGGCGUGGGGGUGGUAGCGGCCGUAGGAGCGAGGGGACGAGGUGGUAGCGGCGCCGUUGGAGGGGUCUAGAGAUGUUGGCGGUGUCGGCGUGGGGCGGAGGAGGUGGGAGCGGCAUCAAGGUGGAGGGGUCGGCGGUUUCGCGGUGGAGGGUUCCGCGGAGAGAGGAGGUCGGGACUGCGCGCGCUGGGUGGCCCGCGGCGUGCACGUAGAAGCGACGAGGCGAAGGGCCGACGGCCGCUCAGUAGGCGGUGCGAGGGGGCUGUGGUCGCUCGGUAGGCGGGGCCGGGCCAGGGGUCAGCUUUGGGUCCUGGGGGCAAAGAGGAGGGAGGUAGGCCGGAAGGCAGACGAGCACCGGCCCGCGGAGACAGGAGGACAGGCCGACGACAUCCCCUUCUAAAGUCUACGACUAUAAGUCGCAUAACGGUUUUCUCAACCCACUUGUUUACGUGAGAGGUUUACUGUAGGUUCUUUUAUAAAAGUUCUCCGCCUUGUUUUAUACCAACCGGUACGAGCUAGGCUGGUUCUCCUCGUCGUCAUCAUCCAUGACCACGUCUAAUCCCACACACCACUACGCUCCUCUUCGGACACGUGGUAACGGUGACCGGAGGAGAUCGAGGCAGCUACCGAUGAAGGAAGAAUAACGAUCAUGUCUUUUCUUACUUGAUGCCCAACGAAGACGGAGUACUGGUUUCACGUACGUAAAAAGAGAUUUGGCGAAGGAAAGAAGAACGUCUGAGGAAGGAGACUUGGUUCAUGACGAUAAGAACGGAAAUACAUGAGUGGUUUUUGUUUUAGUUUUCACUCUCUUAUCACGAGCCAACACUAUGCUAUUCUUUACACGUCACCACUCUCCUAUCUCCUUUUUCCUGUGUGUGACGAUAUCUCUUUGGUUGAACACCACUUAUGAACAAACUAAUACAAACGAUCAUGCAUUGUUUUAUCAUCAAGUGUGAAGUCCCGCUCCACCUAAACCUGAAGUCGCCGUCAUGUUUCUCGUGAAGCCCUCGUGCACCACCCGAGUCUUUUUGAGCAGGGGCUGGUGUUGCCGCGCUCCUCCGGCUCGAAGAGAUGGUACCAGCACGAGAAAAAAACCAACUCGAAGGUACGAGAAAUUGUUUAUUUAAGUUUAUAUUACUUAGUAUACACAAGGAGAGGGACACACGAACACAAGACACACACAGGC
rnacentral:rRNA from 1 species